UAAAAACCCUGCUGAUCCUGAGGCUCAGGUGGAACGCCCACCAGUGAAGGGUCUGAGCAUGGGAAGAACCAAAGGGGCACUCAGACGGAGGGGAAAGUGAGCGAAGCUGUCUGCACUGGAGUGUCCAGCUCUAUCUCAGCUAAGGACAAUGUGUCAAGAGCUGCCAUCUGUCAAUGGCCCUGGGUAUAUGGCCCCACAAGAAACCCAUGUGGAAAAGGAAGAGGGCAUGGCAGGAUUGGUGGAGGCCGGAGCAGCAUCCUGGACCACAAGACAGGAACUGUGUGGUGGCGGAGAGGACAGAGUCACAAGCUGGAAGGAGUCUCAGCAGAGCUACCAUAUGACCUUGCACUUCUAUGAGAGCAGAAAUGAGCCUCGGGUUUUUUUUUUUUUUUUUUUUUUUGAGACGGAGUCUCGCUUUGUCACUAGGCUGGAGUGCAGUGGUUGUAAUCUUGGCUCAAUGCAACUUCCACCUCCCGGGUUCAAGUGAUUCUCCUGCCUCAGACUCCCAACUAGCUGGGACUAUAGGCGUGUACCACCAUGCCCAGCUAAUUUUUGUAUUUUUAGUAGAGACAGGGUUUCACCAUGUUGGCCAGGAUGGUCUUGAACUCCUGACCUCGUGAUCCACCCACCUCAGCCUCCCAAAGUGUGGGGAUUACAAGCGUGAGCUACCGCGCCCGGCCAAGCCUCUGUUGUUUCAAGGCCACUGCUGUUUCAGGUCAGUUUUAGGAGCCGGUCGAGUGAAGUGCCUGAGAGCUAGUUCUCCUUGGGUUCAAUCCCAAGCACCCACAGUUCCUGGGGGUAUGACCUCGCCAAGCCACUUAACGUGUCUGUAACUCAGGUUAUUCAACUAGAAAAUGUGAGUAGUAAAAAUACCCAUCACCAGCUGUUGUGAGAAUCGAAUUAGUGAAUUCUACAUGAAGUGUGUGGAUCUGCACAUAGCUUUGCAUGUGGGAGCAGUAACUAUUACUGCAGCUGAACCUUGAGUCUGUGCGGAACAGGCCCACCUUAAACACCACCUUAAAUACCACCUCUCCCUAGGGUGGCCCUGAGCAGGCCCGUGUUGAGCUACUUCCCAGAGCCCCACCCAAGACCUUCGCCGAGCUGAGCCGAACAGAAACUAAUGUUCCUCACAGAAAUACAACGGAGAGGUUAGAUAAAUGUUUUGUCCACAGUGGACAAUUACAGCUGAAGGGUACUUGUGGCCCAAGGAGUGUAUUUUUAAAAAAGCAAUGUGACUCUUUAAGGCUGCCACUCUUUAUACGUGAAUGACGG
rnacentral:lncRNA from 1 species